rnacentral:rRNA from 1 species
UACGUAGGGGGCAAGCGUUGUCCGGAUUUAUUGGGCGUAAAGAGCGUGUAGGCGGCCAGGUAGGUCGGUUGUGAAAACUGGAGGCUCAACCUUCAGAGGUCGACCGAAACCAUCUGGCUAGAGUCCGGGAGAGGAGAGUGGAAUUCCUGGUGUAGCGGUGAAAUGCGCAGAUAUCAGGAGGAACACCGGUGGCGAAGGCGGGUCUCUGGGCCGAUACUGACGCUGAGGAACGAAAGCGUGGGGAGCGAACAGG